rnacentral:rRNA from 1 species
CCUANGGGGGGCUGCAGUGGGGAAUAUUGGACAAUGGGCGCAAGCCUGAUCCAGCAAUACCGCGUGUGUGAAGAAGGCCUGAGGGUUGUAAAGCACUUUCAUUAGGGAGGAAAACCUGUCGGCGAAUACCCGGCAGCUUGACAUUACCUAUACAAGAAGCACCGGCUAACUCCGUGCCAGCAGCCGCGGUAAUACGGAGGGUGCAAGCGUUAUCCGGAUUUAUUGGGCGUAAAGAGCGCGUAGGUGGUUUGUUAAGUUGGAAGUUAAAACUUCAGGCUCAACCUGGACCCGCUUUCAAUACUGGCAAGCUAGAGUUUGGGAUAGGGAAGGGGAACUAACAGAGUAGCGGUGAAAUGCGUAGAUACUGUUAGGAACACCAGUGGCGAAGGCGCCUUCCUGGACCAAAACUGACACUAAGGCGCGAGAGCGUGGGGAGCAAACAGGAUUAGAUACCCCUNUANUC